rnacentral:lncRNA from 1 species
UGACUGAUCACAACGAUGAAGUUCUGGAGGCAAGUGUUGUUGUCAUGACGAAGACAGACCCAAGUAUUGAAAGGGAUGAUCUGAUUUUGUUCCAGGAGAUUGCCAUGUACAUGCUCCUUGCAUGUGGAGCUGUCUAUGUGAUCUCGAUAAGAAAGAUUUGUGGAUGUUGACCCAACAGGCAAUUGCUACUGAGAUGCAAAGUGAAUCCAAGUGGAAGCAAUUAGGGGAGUUAGCUAUGUCAAAUGGAUCCAUGGAUUUUAAGGCAUACUUGGUGUUGAAGAGUAGUGGAAGCAAUUAGGGGAGUUAGCUAUGUCAAAUGAAUCCAAGUGGAAGCAAUUAGGGGAGUUAGCUAUGCCUUAAAAUCCAAGUGGAAGUACAUUUUCGAAACUGAUCACUACUCUUCAACACCAAGUAUGUCUUCUUAUUCUGUUCACUAGCAUGCCAGUUGUUACUUGCAUUACCAUAUCAUAAUUUUUAAAGACUAUGGAUAGCAGGUCCAUCUAUAUUGCUGACAUACCUAUGGUAAGUACAAAUCCUUUGAGUCUUUGAGAAAGGAUAUCUCAUUGAAUUUGUUCUUUUUGGAAUUGUCCCUCAACACAAAUGCUAAAAUGAUUUUUCCAUAGGAGAGAAUGUAUGAUCCUCCAUUUUAAACAACCUUUUUAAAUACCAGUAUGAAAUAAUACUUUUUCCUUUGAGUAUCCAUCUGUGUUCCUAUAAUUUAAACACCAGUAUGUCCAUGGCCACCUGCAGCACGGUGUUGACUCCACCUUCCAGUGCCUCCUUAUCCAGCUCUCCAUG